rnacentral:rRNA from 1 species
GGAAUUCGUCGUGUAGCGGUGAAAUGCUUAGAUAUGACGAAGAACUCCGAUUGCGAAGGCAGCUGACGGGAGCGCAACUGACGCUUAAGCUCGAAGGUGCGGGUAUCAAACAGGAUUAGAUACCCUGGUAGUCCGCACAGUAAACGAUGGAUGCCCGCUGUUGGUACCUGGUAUCAGCGGCUAAGCGAAAGCAUUAAGCAUCCCACCUGGGGAGUACGCCGGCAACGGUGAAACUCAAAGGAAUUGACGGGGGCCCGCACAAGCGGAGGAACAUGUGGUUUAAUUCGAUGAUACGCGAGGAACCUUACCCGGGCUUGAAUUGCAGAGGAAGGAUUUAGAGAUAAUGACGCCCUUCGGGGUCUCUGUGAAGGUGCUGCAUGGUUGUCGUCAGCUCGUGCCGUGAGGUGUCGGCUUAAGUGCCAUAACGAGCGCAACCCCUGUCUUUAGUUGCCAUCAGGUGAUGCUGGGCACUCUGGAGAUACUGCCACCGUAAGGUGUGAGGAAGGUGGGGAUGACGUCAAAUCAGCACGGCCCUUACGUCCGGGGCUACACACGUGUUACAAUGGCCGGUACAGAGGGACGGUGUAAUGUAAAUUGCAUCCAAUCUUGAAAGCCGGUCCCAGUUCGGACUGGGGUCUGCAACCCGACCCCACGAAGCUGGAUUCGCUAGUAAUCGCGCAUCAGCCAUGGCGCGGUGAAUACGUUCCCGGGCCUUGUACACACCGCCCGUCAAGCCAUGAAAGCCGGGGGUGCCUGAAGUCCGUGACCGCAAGGAUCGGCCUAGGGCAAAACUGGUGAUUGGGGCUAAGUCGUAACAAGGUAGCCGUACCGGAAGGUGCGGCUG